AUUGAACGCUGGCGGCAUGCCUUACACAUGCAAGUCGAACGGCAGCACGGGUGCUUGCACCUGGUGGCGAGUGGCGAACGGGUGAGUAAUAUAUCGGAACGUACCUUAUUGUGGGGGAUAACGCAGCGAAAGCUGUGCUAAUACCGCAUAAUCCCUAAGGGGGAAAGCGGGGGACCGUAAGGCCUAGCGCACUUAGAGCGGCCGAUACCUGAUUAGCUAGUCGGUGAGGUAAAGGCUCACCAAGGCAACGAUCAGUAGCUGGUCUGAGAGGACGAUCAGCCACACUGGGACUGAGGCACGGCCCAGACUCCUACGGGAGGCAGCAGUGGGGAAUUUUGGACAAUGGGGGCAACCCUGAUCCAGCAAUGCCGCGUGAGUGAAGAAGGCCUUCGGGUUGUAAAGCUCUUUUGUCAGGGAAGAAACAGCAGCUCUAACACAGUUUGCGAAUGACGGUACCUGAAGAAUAAGCACCGGCUAACUACGUGCCAGCCGCCGCCGUAA
rnacentral:rRNA from 1 species